UAUCUCUGUAGAGUCUGCAUAUCAAUAAGCGGAGGAAAAGAAACUAACAAGGAUUCCCCUAGUAACGGCGAGUGAAGCGGGAAGAGCUCAAAUUUGAAAUCUUCAAGGUUUGACCUUGACGAAUUGUAGUUUAAAGAAGUGUUUUCGGUUAGAGGAGUAGUAAAAGUUCUUUGGAAUAGGACAUCAUAGAGGGUGAGAAUCCCGUAUUUGACUAUUCUUUCUAGCUUUGUGAUACACUUUCAAAGAGUCGGAUUGUUUGGGAAUGCAGUCCAAAAUGGGUGGUAAAUUUCAUCUAAAGCUAAAUAUUGGCGAGAGACCGAUAGCGAACAAGUACCGUGAGGGAAAGAUGAAAAGAACUUUGAAAAGAGAGUUAAACAGUACGUGAAAUUGUCAAAAGGGAAGCGUUUGACACCAGUGUUGUUUUUCCGAAAAUCAAUUAAAAAUUGAUUCAUGCCAGGUUGUAUUGACCUUAUCAGCUUGCAAUUUGGUUUUGGGUCUCUUUUUGAUGCACUUUUCGGUUAACAAGUCAACAUCAAUUUCUUUUGCCGUAAAAAGGUAGAAGGAAGGUGGCUUUAGUUUCGGCUGAAGUGUUUAUAGCCUUCUGCCCCUGCGGUCGGAGAGAUUGAGGUCUGCAGCGUAGAUCCUUCGGGGCUAGAUACAUUUAUGCUAAGUUAUAGCUUUUCAUAGACAACUUGUUGACUAUGUUUAGUCAUGUAGCUUACUCGUAAGUGCUAUUUUACCUACGCUUAGGAUGUUGAGCGCAUGUCUCUCUCU
rnacentral:rRNA from 1 species